rnacentral:rRNA from 1 species
ACGGGUGAGUAACGCGUGAGUAACCUGCCUUCAAGAGGGGGAUAACAUUCUGAAAAGAAUGCUAAUACCGCAUGACAUAUCGGAACCACAUGGUUUUGAUAUCAAAGAUUUUAUCGCUUGAAGAUGGACUCGCGUCCGAUUAGUUAGUUGGUGAGGUAACGGCUCACCAAGACCGCGAUCGGUAGCCGGACUGAGAGGUUGAACGGCCACAUUGGGACUGAGACACGGUCCAGACUCCUACGGGAGGCAGCAUG